rnacentral:rRNA from 1 species
AUGAUCAACACCAGGAAGGAUAGAUCUAUUGCAGCUUUCAUUCAGGAGUUAAACCAGCACAUUCGUCGCCAGGAGGACCAGAUGUGCGCAGACAUGAUAGAUCUGAAGAAGGCAAAGACUAGGAUCAUGGAACUGGAGGAAGAACUCAAGGCUACACGCGAGGAUUAUAUGGAGGAAAUCGUCGCACUAGUGGAGAAGAAUGGCGACCUGACACAGAAGCUAGGAGUUUACAUGUUCCAUGUGCUAACCCGUUUUCGGGCUGCAACGUAUCAUGUUGCAGACUUUUCAGACGACGAGUAA